CACCGCGGUUAUACGAGAGGCUCAAGUUGACAGACAGCGGCGUAAAGAGUGGUUAAGGGAACUUUUAAACUAAAGCCGAACGCUCUCAGAACUGUUAUACGUUUCCGGAGGUAUGAAGCCCCACCACGAAAGUGGCUUUAUCCCCCCCCCUGACCCCACGAAAGCUGUGAAA
rnacentral:rRNA from 1 species